CUCGGAAUUCGCUGGGCGCACGAUGUGGUUAAUUUAAACACUGCGGCGGCAGGCAAACCUGAGCGGCAUCUCAAUGCGCACAGACCUUAUUUUUAACAAGACAUACUUUGGCACUUGCAAGAACAUUUAAAAAUACCUUCUCCAUUCCGAGGCAGCAGUGUGCUGUCCAGGGGGAGGAAUCCUCAGUUUGAGGUCACUGCUUUCCCUGAGACCUGGACUUGGAAUGUGUUGAUCAGAGCUAUUGCAGAGGCUGCCGUGAGCUUCCAGAGCCAGGAAGUAAACAGAUUGCAGCCAUAGAACACAGCACGAUCAACACAUUGUGUGGGAGCCAUCGUAAAAGCCACACCAUCACCAUGAAACACAGAAUGAGGAAAGCUGUGUCCACGAGAGCUGACCCUGAAAGGCCGUGUGACCCUGUUCUGCUUCAGGUGGGAGUCUGCUUGUCAGACUUACUUUUCACUCUGCCUGUGACUACAAAUGGCCAGGAGGGCACCAAUGCAUUGGCCUGGGAUUGCAAACCACACACACCAAGUAGGCCCAAUCCAUCACUCUGGAGACCCACUCAAAGUCUUUUCAUCAUCCAAGGUUGGCCUCCAUGCCUCGAGCUUCAGGGCACCUGCCCCACUUCUACAGUGCCAGCUCUUAGACUUCAUCACUCAUCCCAGGCAUGCCAUGUGUCUGAUCAUGUCCUGACGGUCCCUCUGCAUCCCCAAGGUACUACCCAUCCGGUGGUCUCAGUACAUUCCUUGACUAAAUCGAAGAGACCAGAUGAGUAAGAUAAUGAGAACGAUCUGAAGAAAGGUUUCCUGACAGCAUAAUAAAGGAUGAGCUGGAGGAAAACCAACAGCCUCCCCAUCCAUCAUCACUCCAGGACCAAGCUUCUCGUGUUCUGAGCCCUGCUCAGGGCUGGUGAGGCCCCCUGCCUACUCCUCCUCCUGAACUAAUCGACAGCCAGACAACAUGCACCUUGCACAAUAGCACCAGGCACGAAGCACCCUCCUGCACAAUAUCAGAGGCCCAGCAGGAUGUGGUUAAUUGCCAGGUGAGGGAAACACUAACUACAAAAGAGAAUGAUUCCAUACAUGAUGCAGGAAAGCGUGGGGGUCUGGGUGCGGAAGGAGCCUCCUGAGAGCAAGGAUUCAGGUAGGAAAAGGAUGUGGAAUUAUAUCUGGCCCAAGGGAAGGGUGGUACCUAACUUUCUGAGAGCAAGGAUGCAGGGUAAAGAGAGGCUUCCCUAAGCAGACAAGGGAGAGGCCCUGCAAGUUGGGGAAAUGGACCCAGGUGGUCUCAGGGCCUUCAGCAGGUGAGUGUGGAAGAGGACACAGAAGUGUGAGGCUGGAAGGUAGAGUGGCUACCAGAAGCUCUGAUUUCUCACAUUGUGUUUCUCUUUAUAUUCUAAUCAUCUGUGUUCAAAACUUGCCAUUUUCACAAGCUGAGGCUCAGAGGCCAGAAAGCAAAGGGAUGGAUGGGUGGCACUACCCCCUUCCUCUGCCAUGUCACAUCAGCAAAUAAGGGACAGCAGGGAGGAUGGGUGUGAAGAGGGCACCAGGUUGUUCCCUAGAGGAGACACAGGCUCAACUUAAGUUUCAGAGGAUGAGCAAGGGGCAGGCAUGAUUGUAGAAGCCCCCUGUGGAGUGGCCAGGUGGGAAGGCAAGGAUGGGCUGGGGCAGUGAAGGUGACAUCUUUUCAUGUAACUUGAGAGGAGAUGGCAGGAAGUCGUUGAGGUUGAAUAGAAGGGGCAGGGCAGGUGAAAAAAAAUAGGACUCUAGGGGACAAAUAUGGGCAAAGGGAAGGAAAGCUGACCAUGGCAGGGACGGUGCGACCAUGGCAAGUUCACAGGCAUCGGUCUGCGUGUCCUGUUUUAGGAUGCUCAGACUUAUCUACGUGAUGCAUCCUGAAAGAUGUGUGCAUGGAAACAUGGGGGUGGGAAGAGGGGAAGAUGCAUUUGGGAGCAUCUGGAAAUGCAAAUUGCAAGGAGAAAGCUGAAAGCAGCCUGGCUAGCAAGGACAUCAUUGGCGACUGUUGGCUCUGCAGAGUUUCAGAGGCCAGUCUGGUACCUGGGUGAAGAGGUUGUCCUGAUAUUUCUUUCUGCAAAUUUGGACCCAUUGGUGUAUAUGGCAGGCACUCUCUCAGGGCAUUUCAUGGACUAUGUCUUGCUAGUCAGUCCAUCUGUCUUACCUUUCCCUGUUGCUGUGAUUAAACACUCGGACAAAAGCAAUUUAAGAAAGAAAGGAUUUAUUUUGGCUCAGUUUGAAGGUACAGUCAACCAUGGUAGGGAAGCCACAGCUGUGGGAGCUUGAGGCAGCUGGUCACACAGCAUCUACAGUCUUUUUUAAUAUAUAUAUAUAUUAAAAAAGUUCAGUUCAGGGUCCCAGCCCAGAGAAUGAUCUCACCCACAAUGGGAAGGUCUUUCUACCUCAACUUAAUAGAAUCAAGAUAAUCCCACAGGCAUGUCUCUUUAGUAAAUCCAAAUCUCAUCAAUUAACAAUUAGAUUAGCCCUCUCACCAUCUUCAGGCAGAAAAAACAAUCACCCAUGCAUUCUUAAAUCUGUGUUUGAAAGCCUAUGAGAGGCUCUGUCUGUCUGUGAUGCCCAGACAUCCCAGGGAACUGUGAUGCAUCACAGUCCACACAAGCACUGAGGAGCCACCAUGCAAACAGCAUGACCCCACCUUGGGGAAAGUUGGCUUGUUUGGGGGUAGACAUGUGACACAAAUUAGACUGUGGUGGUCUAAUUUGAAUGAGAAUGGUUUCCACAGGCUCACAUAUUUGGAUACUUGGUUCCCAUUUGGUGGAAGUGUCUGGGAAGGAUUAGGAGGUGUGGCCUUUUUGGAGGAGGUGUGUCACUGGGAGUGGACUUUGAGGUUUCAAAAGACUUGCACCAUUCCCAGUUAACUCUGAUCUGUCUCAUGGUCCUGUCUCAAGAUGUGAGCUCUCUGUUGCUGCUCCAGCACCGUAUCUGCCUUCCUGCUGCCAUGCUCCCUGCCAUGAUGACCACGGACUCUAACCCUCUGAAACUCCUUCUCCUCCUCUGGAAGCCCCAUCUACUUCCUGCCUGGCUACUGGCCUAUCAGUGUUUUAUUCAUCAACCAAUAAGAGAAACAUGUGCAGAAGAACGUUCCCAUCAGGCCUUUCACAUCAGCCCACUGAUGUGGGAACCAACGGGAUGGUGAUUACACUGCUCGCUGUGAGUCUGGGGAGAGCAGGUUGUGACCCACAAGGAUCUAGCAUGUCCCAUGUGAGUGCUUGCUCAACACAAUUAAAGAGUCUUGUAUCUUUCUGUUUAACAAACCCUUGGGCUGAUGGGACACAGCUCAGUGUAUUUUGUAUGGUCAACCCCACAGGCCACCCAGAACCUCUAUCAGCAGCCUGAGACUGAGGGCAGAUGAAGACUUUGGCCUGAGUUAGAAAAGAAGUUUAAGACACACAUUUGCCUCUGGGGUGUUUUGGACCGUGGGGGACAUCCUCUCAGCACUUCAGUUAUCUUAGCUGUGUGGUAGUAAUGAUAAUGUUUACUUCAUG
ensembl:lncRNA